AGAUCACAUAAACGAUAGGCAAUACAGCGUUCUAGGUUACAUCGAUAGAGAU
rnacentral:misc_RNA from 1 species